rnacentral:rRNA from 1 species
CGAAUUCGCCCUUAGAGUUUGAUCCUGGCUCAGGACGAACGCUGGCGGCGUGCUUAACACAUGCAAGUCGAACGGAAAGGCCCUGCUUUUGUGGGGUGCUCGAGUGGCGAACGGGUGAGUAACACGUGAGUAACCUGCCCUUGACUUUGGGAUAACUUCAGGAAACUGGGGCUAAUACCGGAUAGGAGCUCCUGCUGCAUGGUGGGGGUUGGAAAGUUUCGGCGGUUGGGGAUGGACUCGCGGCUUAUCAGCUUGUUGGUGGGGUAGUGGCUUACCAAGGCUUUGACGGGUAGCCGGCCUGAGAGGGUGACCGGCCACAUUGGGACUGAGAUACGGCCCAGACUCCUACGGGAGGCAGCAGUGGGGAAUAUUGCACAAUGGGCGGAAGCCUGAUGCAGCAACGCCGCGUGCGGGAUGACGGCCUUCGGGUUGUAAACCGCUUUCGCCUGUGACGAAGCGUGAGUGACGGUAAUGGGUAAAGAAGCACCGGCUAACUACGUGCCAGCAGCCGCGGUGAUACGUAGGGUGCGAGCGUUGUCCGGAUUUAUUGGGCGUAAAGGGCUCGUAGGUGGUUGAUCGCGUCGGAAGUGUAAUCUUGGGGCUUAACCCUGAGCGUGCUUUCGAUACGGGUUGACUUGAGGAAGGUAGGGGAGAAUGGAAUUCCUGGUGGAGCGGUGGAAUGCGCAGAUAUCAGGAGGAACACCAGUGGCGAAGGCGGUUCUCUGGGCCUUUCCUGACGCUGAGGAGCGAAAGCGUGGGGAGCGAACAGGCUUAGAUACCCUGGUAGUCAAGGGCG